rnacentral:lncRNA from 1 species
CAACCUGGCUUUGCCAAUAGGUUCCUGGAAUAUCUUUGCUGGUGGAGUUUUCCAGGAACCUAUUGGCAAAGCCAGGUUGGCCAUGUGCCCUUUGUAAACUUAAUAGGUCCCACUCACCCUCUUCAAGGCUCUGGGGCAGAAAAGCCAACUUGGGACUGUUAGUCCAGCCUAACAGGACCCAUUUCCACCAUCUCUCUAUAGGCUUACCACUUAUCCCUCUGCCAAGGCAGCUUUCUUUUGUAUAUGUUUUCUGUGCCCCUCAGCCUCCACACUCCUUUCACCUUCGUGGAUUAAAACCCAGUCCUAACCACAAUCAGAAAAUGGCAAUAUGUACAGUGGCACACCUUGACCAGUCACUAAUUUUCACUGUUGUGAAAGUGAUUUGAUUUAGAAUUAAACAAAUGAUUUUAUAUAACUG